CCUACGGGAGGCUGCAGUGGGGGAUAUUGCACAAUGGGGGAAACCCUGAUGCAGCGACGCCGCGUGAGUGAAGAAGUAUUUCGGUAUGUAAAGCUCUAUCAGCAGGGAAGAAAAUGACAGUACCUGACCAAGAAGCCCCGGCUAACUACGUGCCAGCAGCCGCGGCAAUACGUAGGGGGCAAGCGUUAGCCGGAUUUACUGGGUGUAAAGGGAGCGUAGACGGCGGUGUAAGUCUGGAGUGAAAGGCGGGGGCGCAACCCCGGGACUGCUUUGGAAACUGUGUAACUGGAGUAAAGGAGGGGCAAGCGGAAUUCCUGGUGUAGCGGUGAAAUGCGGAGAUAUCAGGAGGAACACCAGCGGCGAAGGCGGCCUACUGGACUGUAACUGACGUUGAGGCUCGAAAGCGUGGGGAGCAAACAGGAUUAGAUACCCCGGUAGUC
rnacentral:rRNA from 1 species